GCCGGGGUGGCGAAACUGGUAGACGCGCUACCUUGAGGUGGUAGUGCCCACAAGGCUUGCAGGUUCGACUCCUGUCCCCGGCA
rnacentral:tRNA from 2 species